UACGAAGGGGGCUAGCGUUGCUCGGAAUGACUGGGCGUAAAGGGCGCGUAGGCGGCGGUCACAGUCAGAUGUGAAAUUCCUGGCUUAACCUGGGGGCUGCAUUUGAUACGUGGUUGCUUGAGUGGGGAAGAGGGUCGUGGAAUUCCACGUGUAGCGGUGAAAUGCGUAGAUAUGUGGAGGAACACCGAUGGCGAAGGCAGCCCCCUGGGCCAAUACUGACGCUCAUGCACGAAAGCGUGGGGAGCAAACAGG
rnacentral:rRNA from 1 species